rnacentral:misc_RNA from 1 species
GUUCAGAAUUAUCUACAAGAAACACAAAAUGCCAGUUUCUACCACCACUAUUACUUCCAUGUCUAUCUCCCAUUUCACAAAGAAUCAAGUGCUUGGGAGUGGAGAGGAAGAGAAGCUAACCCAUGAGUGCAAGGAACUGCUGCUUUCUGUUCCCAGAGAAAGAGGUUGGAGAACUCCUUUUAUCUAUCAAUUUCAGGGAUUUUGGUGCCAGCCAAAGGAGAUCCAAGCCAUUUUAUCUUUCCAUAAACACUUCCAAGCAAAAGACGGUGAUGUUAUUCUAGCCACAAUGCCAAAAUCAGGCACCACUUGGCUAAAAGCCAUAGCUUUUGCCAUCCUGAACCGCAAGAAAUUUCCAGCAUUCUCAAAUAACCAUCCCUUGCUUUUUUCCAAUCCUCAUGAUCUUGUUCCUUUCUUUGAGUACAAAGUUUAUGCAAACGACCAGGUUCCUGACCUCUCAAUACUCCCUGAGCCUAGACUCUUAGCUACCCAUAUUCCAUUUGCGUCCUUGCAAGAAUCCAUCAAGAAUUCCAGUUGCAAAAUUGUUUAUAUUUGUCGAAACCCUUUUGACACUUUCAUCUCCUCAUGGAUUUUCAGUAACAAGAUUAGGCCAGAAACUAUUCCUCCACUGUCACUAGAGGAAGGUUUCAACAUGUAUUGCAAUGGGGCUAUUGGGUUUGGUCCAUUUUGGGACCAUAUGUUGGGGUACUGGAAGGAGAGCCUGGAAAGACCAGACAAGGUGCUCUUCUUGAAGUAUGAGGACAUGAAACAAGGCAUUGCAUUUCACUUGAAGAAACUUGCAAAGUUUCUUGGUUGCCCUUUUUCAUUGGAGGAAGAGGAGGAAGGUGUAAUUGAAGAUGUAGCCAAGCUUUGUAGCUUUGAGAAGUUGAAGGAAUUGGAGGUGAACAAAUCUGGCAAGUCCAUUAUGAACAUUGAAAAUAGACACUUGUUUAGGAAAGGUGAAGUUGGAGAUUGGUUGAAUUAUUUAUCCCCUGCAAUGGUGGAGCAAUUGACCCAAGUGAUGGAGGAAAAAUUAAGUGGCUCUGGUCUUGAGUUCAAGGCGAUUUCCUAGAAUGCAUUACUCUCUGGAUAGCCAUCAGCCAUGCUUGCUACUUGGGUUCAAACACUUUCUUAAUUUCCUUUAUGCAUUCAAUAAAAUUUUAUGUAUGAUAUUGUUUGUAAUUUUAUUAAUUAAUGAAGUAUUUUAAUUGCAUUUUAGUUUUUUCCCCUAUUUAGAUUAAUGGAUGAAUAAUUUUCAUACCAAAAAA